rnacentral:rRNA from 1 species
UACGAAGGGUGCAAGCGUUACUCGGAAUUACUGGGCGUAAAGCGUGCGUAGGUGGUUUGUUAAGUCUGCUGUGAAAGCCCCGGGCUCAACCUGGGAAUGGCAGUGGAUACUGGCAAGCUAGAGUGCGGUAGAGGGGUGUGGAAUUCCCGGUGUAGCGGUGAAAUGCGUAGAGAUCGGGAGGAACACCAGUGGCGAAGGCGGCACCCUGGACCAGCACUGACACUGAGGCACGAAAGCGUGGGGAGCAAACGGGG